CCUACGGGAGGCAGCAGUGAGGAAUAUUGGUCAAUGGACGCAAGUCUGAACCAGCCAAGUAGCGUGCAGGAUGACGGCCCUCCGGGUUGUAAACUGCUUUUAGUUGGGAAUAAAAGGGGGCUCGUGAGCCCCGUAUUGUAUGUACCAUCAGAAAAAGGACCGGCUAAUUCCGUGCCAGCAGCCGCGGUAAUACGGAAGGUCAGGGCGUUAUCCGGAUUUUUUGGGUUUAAAGGGAGCGUAGGCGGGCUUUUAAGUCAGCUGUGAAAGUCCGCGGCUCAACCGUGGAAUUGCAGUUGAAACUGGAAGCGUUGAGUACACACAGGGAUGCCGGAAUUCAUGGUGUAGCGGUGAAAUGCUUAGAUAUCAUGAAGAACUCCGAUCGCGAAGGCAGGUGUCCGGGGUGCAACUGACGCUGAGGCUCGAAAGUGCGGGUAUCAAACAGGAUUAGAUACCCUUGUAGUC
rnacentral:rRNA from 1 species